CAGUCGUACCUUCGGGUAAUCAGCCUUUCGGGUGCGAUUCUGUGGAGUGUGAGGAGUUAAACACCUUCAUGUUUUGCAUAUUCGUACUCUUGGGUGUACUUGCCCGUGUGGUUGGUUAACAUCAAUUUUGGUGGUCAUAAAAUGACUGGAGGAAUGUAGCUUCGAUCUCGUAUUGAAGUGUUAUAGCCUUCGGUAGAUGUGAUGAUCGAGAUUGAGGAUUGCAACGGAUACCCUGCGGGGCUACCUGUCUGAUCUCUGAUCGUUGCUCUGGUGCCGAAAGCUUGCUUACGGUUAUCAAAGUCGAUGGUCAAUAGGUUAGAACGGGUUAAAUUCGUUAAGGAUGUUGACGUAAUGGCUUUAAACGA
rnacentral:rRNA from 1 species